CUUGGAACCUUGGUCGCAAGAUCACGUGGAUCCAUCCUUGGAAUCCCACCCUGGUGUGGUUGAGGUUCUAACCUUGGUCCGUUAUCCGGAUCAGGGACAGUGCAUGGUGGGUAGUUUGACUGGGGCGUUCUCCUCCUAAAAGGUAACGGAGGGGUUCCAAGGUACCCUAGGUAGGGUCCGUCAUCAUGCUGAUAGUAGAAGGGCAUAAGGGAGCUUGACUGAGAAACUGACAA
rnacentral:rRNA from 1 species